AUGGAAGGGAACCAAAACAAGACAAAUUGUAAUAUCGUGCAAUAUAUAAUUGAUAACAACCUACCGGAGCUCAAAAAUGAACUAAAUAGGGGAAACAUUAAUGACCUUUACUCAUACAGCGAGUGGAAUGACUACGUAACCCCACUGAUAGUUGCUAUUGUCAAUCAUAGGGAGGAUAUUUUGUCUUUCUUACUGCAAGAGGGUGCAGACCCAAACAAGGUGUCGCAAACGGGCUUAACACCUUUACAUUAUGCCUCUAAGUCCAAAGCACCCCUUGCUUUUGUGACAAAACUGCUGAGACAUAAUGCGAAUCCAAACGCAUGUGAUCUCAUAGAGGAAAAGUCUUUGACACCUCUGCAAAUAGCAGUCAUUGAAAAAAGGCGAGAUAUUUUUAAGGAGCUAAUAUCUGCCGGUGCACAAGUAACCGAGUUCCCUGCAUCUUUUCCUGAACACAAUGUUCACAAUAAAGAAUUAUCUCAGAUGACGGAUAAAUCCAAAUCUGGACAAUGUCUUAGAUUCUUAAAAAAAAAAUUUCUGUGUUCCUGUGCUGUAAAUCGCAAACAAAAGGAUCCAGCACUAGCUCCUCAAACUUCCAAUGGUUUACCUGUCCAACCUGGUACAUCAAAAACAAUGCAGGAAUGUCCAAUCAGCAAGAGAUGGAGAGAGAAGUUAGACAAGAUUCCUCACUUCAUUGAAACAGAGAAAAUCAAGAUAAAAACGAUCGGAAGCCUGACGUAUGUGAAUGAUGACGAAUUCCACAUAUCUACGGGUAGUGAUGGCACCGAGGUCUUUCUGGGAUACAGAGAUGAUGGCACUGAAGUUGCUAUCAAGAAAAUGUUGAAACGCAACUAUGAAGAGCUGAAGAAUGAGGAAAAGAUUCUAAGGCUUCCAGAGCUUGAUCAUCAACUCAUUGUGCGAUAUGUUGACACGGCGGAAGAUGAUGAAUUUGGAUAUAUUGCUCUUCAACUUUGUGAAUACACCCUGGAAGAAUAUAUUGACAUUAAAAAAGGUGACCGUCGGCUGAUGGAGAAACUUGUCAAACAACUCCUCGAGAGUUUAAAGGUGCUUCAUUGUCCUUGUGAUUCGAGUCCUCCAAUCCUCCACCGGGAUCUCAAACCACAGAAUGUUUUGAUCGGUGAGACAAAUAAAAAAUAUUCAUAA
ensembl:lncRNA